rnacentral:rRNA from 1 species
UGAGGAAUAUUGGUCAAUGGACGAGAGUCUGAACCAGCCAUGCCGCGUGAAGGAUGAAGGCGUUCUGCGUUGUAAACUUCUUUUAUCUGGGAAGAAACCUUCUUUUUCUAAGGAAGCCGACGGUACCAGAGGAAUAAGCACCGGCUAACUCCGUGCCAGCAGCCGCGGUAAUACGGAGGGUGCAAGCGUUAUCCGGAUUUACUGGGUUUAAAGGGUGUGUAGGCGGACUUUUAAGUCAGCGGUGAAAUCUCCGGGCUCAACCCGGAAACUGCCAUUGAUACUAUUAGUCUUGAAUGUUGUUGAGGUGGGCGGAACGGGUCAUGUAGCGGUGAAAUGCAUAGAUAUGACCCGGAACACCGAUUGCGAAGGCAGCCCACUAAGCAACUAUUGACGCUGAGGCACGAAAGCGUGGGGAUCAAACA